AAAACACAGGUUUAUUGCCAGCUGCAACACACACCAGCAUUACAAGAGAAUAGGAGUUAUAGUGAUAAAUGUCAGGUGUGUAAGGAUGUGUGGUAUCUAGGAGAGAAGAGAUUAAUGGGAAUAUAUUACACAAUGGUACAGCUAUGCAGUGGUCACCAACCUUUUCUGAGUCAAGAUCACUUUCGCAGUCAAAAAGCAAGCCGAGAUCUACCGCUCAGAUGUUUUUUUUAACAUUACUUUAAAAGACAGUUCUGUGAAUGAGGUUUGUGCAGUAGCCCUAGUACCUUACAUUAUCACAGCAUGUUGGCUAUAUGCCUGGCAAUAUUGUUUUUCUCAGACCAUAUUAUAUUUCAAAACUGGAGCUUUGAUAACAAAAUAGAUCAGUUGGUGUAGCACUUGCGAGGCACAGCUGAGCAUAAAUUGAAAUCAUUUGCCUUUUUAUUUUACUGUACUGACGGUACCUGCAUCUGAUGGUCAUGGUUAUUUCAAGACAACUGGGAACUCGGGGAAAAGGGAGGUAAAAUCAUGACGUCAGUGAUCCUCAGAUCGGAAAAUGGAAGCUCCAGAAAGAUGCCCGAGUUUUCUACUUGGAAUUCCGAGUUGGAUGUUCAAAAAUAUUUUUGUCAGUCGGAUCUAGUUUUUUUUCUUCGAGUUCCCAGUUGUCUUGAAUACACUGAAGUCGGAGAGAGGGAGCUGAGGGAUGGAGAGAGCAGCAAAGGGUCCGCCUCUCACCGUCCUUUCCUCCAGUGAGACUGACGAGAGGGGACAACGUCUUCCAACUGAUGGCGAAACUCCAGUCGCACAGCAUCUGCCUCAUGCUGAGUCAUGCACAAGUUCAUGUUGUUCCUAUGACCAGAGAAAGUGAAAUAUUCCUCGAUAUUAAAAUACACACGACGAGCUGCUAAUAAUAAAAAUGCAGGGCUAUUGAUACGCUUGGCUACUAAUUAAUUUCAGCUGCAGCACAAGUGAUAGUAUGGAGAAGCGCGUUUUCUGUUUUGUAAAGGUGUUGAAUAAAAACAGUGUUGACAGUGCUGAAUAAAAACUUAAACAUGAACUCACUCAUAAAAAUACCAGCUCCUUGCGGUAUUAUUUGACAGUCUCUCUGGUCAUGGUUUUUAAUAGUUAUGAAAUCUCAUAUAGGCUAAUAUCAAACUACACUGGAAGCUGUAGGCACGUGGAUUUGAGCUAUCCUAUUGGCCAGUAAGUAGACACUCGAUUUAGCCACAGAUAUCCUGGUCCGCCAGGUAGUUAGUUUGGUUUUUCAGACAAAUAAAAAGGUUCAAAAUGGGAACACUUUGUCUACGCAGGGCUUCUGAAUCAAGUGCACCUACCAUCAACUGCGCGACACGAAUUUUAAAAAAGGAGCGCAAGUCUUUAUCGUUGGCUUUUCUACAAAAAUGUUUGGUGAUCGACUAGGAAUGCUUUCACCGAUUGGUGACCACUGAGCUAUACGUUAGAAUGUAGCAACUGUACUAGGGAGCAUGUAAUGAUAACAAUGACAAUAGUGCUAAUGGAAUAAUAGCUUCAAUUGAAUAGCAUUGUAAUAACAUAGGCCAGUGGUACUCAUUGCGGCUCUCGGUGAUUUUCCUAGUUUCCAUUGACAAUACAUAAAUUAUACAAUUUAAAUUAAAUGUGUUUAAUUAAUGCAGGCCUGAAUCACUUCAUAGGCUAUGUCUGUUGCUCCUUGGACCGCAGAUAGAUGGCAGUAUAGCGCAGCUGUUAAACAGAAAGUUUGCCGAAAUAGAACGCAACUGCUCAGCUGCAUCGACCAACACAUCAGUUUGCUACUAGCUAAUUUUGCAGUCUGGUAGACAUGGAUCGAUUUAUUGUAAAAAAUAAACGUAAAUCUAUUGACAAUGAAAAUUAGGGGGGAAGAGCUGGGGAACAACGUGUCAGCUAUGAACGAGCAACCAUCGGAGAACCAGGAAAAUCAGGAAAAUGGCGGCAGGGAAAUGCGGUUAGCUAACGUGGCUCUGGUGGCUAAGAGAAGAAUAAGGUCGAUUCAAGAAGAAUACAGAAAGUUCCAAGAGAAAUGGACAGACAAGUAUUUUUUUGUACUGCAUAAUGGUACUAGCUCGCAUUGUCUUAUUUGCCAGAAGGCAGUCAAUUGUUUAAAAAAUGCAAGUUUAGAGCGACAUUUCCAGUCACAUCAUGCACACUUUGACAAAACAUCCGCCACCAAGCAACCUCAGAAACAACAAAAUAGCGCAACUCAAAGGACAGCUAAAAGGACAACAACAAAUGACGGACAGAUCUAGCACUGUUGCAGAGAAAAUGACAGAGACAACAUAUGAGAUUGCUUGGGAUACACACGAGAAACAAGAAGGCCUUCACAGAUGUGACCUCAGCUGAAAUGUUGUAUGCUGAUUUCACAAACAAGGAAUCUAUUAAAUCUAUUAAAGCAAAUUAAGGGACUGCAACUCUCAGACUCGACCAUAACAAGACGCAUAGAAGACAACACAUCAGUGGCGCAGUGUUUUUGUAUUGUGCUUGAUGACAGCGCUGAUGUAAGUGACAUUGGGCAAUUAUAUGUUUGGGUUCACUUCCCUCAAAACGAGUCGUUCAGAGAGGAACGUUUAUGUUUACUGCCCCUUCAGGGACAAACAGGAGGAUGGGAUAUUCUGAAAGCCCUUGUUACAUAAUAUUGACAUUGUCAAAUCUGGCAUCUGUGUGCACUAUCGGUGCCCCAAAUAUGCGAGGGGAGGAGAAGGGACUCAACAAUGAGCAUUGUGAAACAAAAACAGAGAAACAGACUGACCAAUGCACACCUGGAUUGCCUCACAGGGAUAGCAACAACAGACUAAAUUUAGAAUGAAUUCAGUCAAGGAGCAGAAGUGACAUUGAGGUAACCCUUAAUAUGGGUCUUAUACAUGUGAUGUAGCCUAUUUGAUAUAUAUAUGCACACAUGGUGGACACGGCCCCACCAAUGUAUAUAUUUGUUAAAUGUAUAUAUUUGUGAUGUGCUGUCCAUCAAAUCAAUUGCAUGUGCUCUAUUGCUCUGAAUUUGCGCUAAAUUGAUAAUUGAAAGAAAAAGUACAACAAAUUAAAGAUCUGUGCAGCCCUCUAAAUGAUUGUCUCAACCCAAAGUAGCCUCCUUACAAAAAAUUGUGGGUAACACUGAAAUAGGCUAUAGAUGUCCUAUAAUGGUUAGGGCUAGUAAGCUAGACAGAAAUAAGAAUGUAAUAUCAUCAAUAGUAGUAAUAGACUAUUAGUAACACAGGCUAAUACAAUGUAGUAAUAAUAAUAAUAGAAGUAAUAGCAGCGAGGCUAAGAUGCUUAGCAACAAUGGGAGUAAUGCUCUGUACAUAUGCAAUGGGCAAGGGCUAGGGAGGCUAAACACAAUUGCAGCUAAGUAUUAGCAACAGGCUAUUAGAGAAUACAGUACACACUAAGGCAUAAUGGCCACUAGAAUACAUUAGCGGCCAAACUAGCAUAAUACAAGCUAGUAACAAAAAUAUAAGCAAAUCUAGCUAGAGAUGGGCAUUUGAAUUUUUGGGAUGUUCAAGUACUCGCAUAAUUUUUGUUGUUGUUGUACUGCAAUAAAAAAUAUAGUUUUAGAACUGCACUGUAAAUAAAUGUGUGCAUUUAUCUAUAGGUCUAUGCCAACAGUGCGAGAGAAUGCCUAAUUUAUCAUAACCAAUACAGAUAACAAAUCCUAAUCCCUAAAUUGCCCCAUAUACAGUAUAUUCAGUCAAUAAAAAAUUAAGUGCCAUUUAAGAUUAAUUUAUUGAAACCGUAAUAUCAACUAGUUAUAUUAUAUUGUGUAACACAAUCUUCAAAAAGGCAGUAACCGCAGCAGUGGCACUUGCUUGUAGAAGCCUAUGGCUGUGCAAUGGCGUAGCCUUGCUUUGUUAAUUUAGCAGACAAGACACUCUUAUUUCCCGAGCCCUUUUAAAAUAGGUCAAGAUAUCUAUUUUGUAGUAAAAAAAAAACUAAAUAUGUAAUAUAGCAGAAUAAAAGAGAACAGAAUAUUUUUUGAAAUGAAAAAAGUUGCCACUGCGAAGUGAUCUCGCGGCGAGUUAGUGGAAAUUGUGUUUCUAUUUCCGGCAACAUUCGCGCGACGCUAGCACAUUCUAGUGGCGGGAGGCGAAAGCGGCACUUUUAGUUGAGAGUUUGAUAGUUUUACACUGACAGAACCGCACAAAGUCCUAAAAUCGAUCAACAUGACAAGCAUUAUAUGUUCUGUAUGAGGCUGGCACAAUAAUUGGAUGAAGAGGAGGAAGUUUUUACAACAGCAAUGUUUUGAACACCAACCUCUACAUUGAUCUGAAUGUACCUGUGGAGCCCCAUACGACCUGCAUCCACCUCCUAAAGAUGCAUAGUAUUUGUGGCUCUGGCUCAAAGCAUUGAACCUAAAGAAACCACCUAAACGUCCCUUUGUGUGCUCCUACCACUUCUUUGACAAGGACUACAAUGGAGCAUUCUUACCCAGAUAAAUGGCUUGGCUACGAUGCUCCACUCUUGAAGAAGUGUCAGGUAUUCAUCAGUGACAGAUGACAAAACAGGCUCACGUGUUCACCAAAUUGAAAAUGGGGAUUGACCAACACAGAUAGAAGGAAUGGAUAUGCCUUCAGAGAAGGAUGCCCAAACCCAAUGGGAAGACCCAUCUCUAAGUGAUCACAGCUCAGGUGAUCAUGUAAAGCCCACUACCUGUGAGGCAGGGACACAGUGCCCAGCAGGACCUCUCUACAAAACCGUGCUGAGGAACGAAGCACUCUGUCGACUGCAUACAGCCUUGUUGCCUUUUCUACCCUGGCGGAACAUCUUCUACCCCUCUACAAAGGCAGCUUUCAGUUAGACCUGACAUACUAAUUCCUGAUGACACUGAUGAAGCUGAAGCUCAACUUGCUGCAGCAGUACCUAGCAGAAAGGUUUGGUGUUUCCCAGAGUAUUGUCAGUUGAGUGAUUUAGUUAUUGGAUCGACAUGAUGGAAGAGAAUCUGAGGGAGUGCAUUCCAUGGCUGCCAAGGGAGACCAUCCGUGCUACAAUGCCACAAUGUUUUAAGGACCACUACCCAGGAACAACCUGCAUUAUUGACUGCUCAGAAACUGUUUUACAGAAGUGCAAGGUUCUGGAUUCAAAGGGGGAGUCAUUCAGCCAUUACUACGCCUAGAACACUAUCAAGUACCUGGUGGCCAUUGCACCUUGUGGUCUAGUGAUGUUCAUCUCCUCAGCAUAUGGAGGUAGAUGUAGCGACAAAUAUAUAACAUUGGAUUCUAGGUUCCUGGAGUACCUCUGUCCAGGUGAUGAGGUCAUGGCUCACCGGGGCUUCACAAUCAGUGAUCUGCUACACGAGAGGAAGGUCAAAUGAACAAUUCCAGCCUUCACAAAAAGAGGCGCACAGCUGUCAGAGGAGGACACCACAUGUACAAGACGGAUAGCUAACGUGAGGGUUCAUGUGGAACGCGUAAUUCAAAGGCUCAAAUGGUUUAGAAACAUCUCACAGACAGUGCCAAUCAACCUCUCAUCUAAAAUGGACAAAAUACUUUGAAUCUGUGCCGCCCUGUGUAACCUGCGUGGCGAUAUCAUUCAUGAAGAUGCUGAAUGAACUGACCAGUCAAAUGCCAUUCACAGGGUCGAUUUCCCAAUAUGAAUUAAAGUUGUGUCAAAAGUUACAUGCAAUUUCAAUUCAUUCUAUAACAACUCAACUUAAUUAUUUGUUUUACAUACUGAUUCAUAUUAAUAAAAAAAACGAAGCCAUAAAAACAGUUUCCACAGUACUGUGACUGUUGAUGCAUUAAGUCAGGCUUUUUAACUGGAAAACAAUGUGUUAAUAGUAACUGCAAACAGGAGAGACAUCUGACCACAUACUUCUACAGAGCUGCAUAUAUUUGUCACUCGGUGACAAUCUGCCUGCCUGAUGAUCCUCAACAAUAAAUGGCAGCAUGUGUAUAAAGUAGAAUGCCUUCAACCUCAGCACAGCCUCUGCACAGAACUGUGCAUCAUAGGGAACAGGGAUGACAACUUGCUGGGAUGGAGUCCAGAUGAGCACCUUACUUUCUCUCAGUCCUGUGCUAAACAUACCAAUUUGCGCACCUGCAUGUAGUAGCCACGUGGCCCAUGUGGUUGCAGUUGGGGUGUGCCCUCCACAUCACAGGCUUUCCCAUUGAAGACAUCAUCCAGAGAAUCAUAGCCCUUCCCCAUGACUGGACACUUGAUCUCCAACAGCUCCUUGGAGUUAAGCACUCCAUCAGGGCUUGCUGGUAGCCAUGGCUCUUCAACACUGACAACAGUGCCUCUAUGGUCCACAGAGUAACCACAGUCUUCCAGCCACUGGGUGGCCAUCAGCACAUUAUCUUUCCCGUAGCAUGUGGCUGCACUCCCUCGGGAACCUGGGAUACAGAUGAUCCUGGAGAAACUUACCAGGGUUAGUGGAUUCCCUGACGGACCUUCUUUCUUGCAGAAACUCAAAGCUUCCUUGAGUCAUGCCACAAGUGUGAGACACUCUGCUCCUUUGUGAUCUGUUCCUAAGUAGUCGACUGGGUUGGGUCAAGUUUCACAAAUUCAUUGUAGAAGGACAGGCACUUCUGGCAGUUGUAAUUGACAUGCUCUCCAUGUGGCUGGGAAAGAGUAGAGAAUCUAUAUGAAGUUAUUAUAUGGAGUUAGCAAGCAUUGAGCAGAAGAGAUACACAUCAGUUCAAAUACAUUAAAAUGGUACAGCCACAAAUAAAUAUUCCUUUCAGUCCAAUUUUACCUGGGAUGCUACUGGCUGUGAUAUUAUUGUCGGUUCAGCAUUAACACACUUAUAGAGCAGACUCCCCACAGGCCGAUUCAGGUGUCUCAAGCUCCUAUUCAAUUUCUCAUGUGAGUGGAAUGCAGGAGUGGACAUUCUGGAUGCUUUUCUGCAUAUUGGUCACUGGCCUUAUGGUGUGUGAAGUCAAUGCUGGUUAACCGCUUUGACUCAAGGUUCCUCCCAAGUCCCUGCAUUCCAUUGUCGAUGCUCAUCGGUGCAGGCUAUGCCAGUUAGCCCACUGGACACUGCAUUCUGCACCUGUGAUAGAAUGUUUGUUACAAAAAAAAGACAUUCAGAGAAAAUCACAUUAUUAACAAUUGUGUGACUGAGGACUAUGUGAUCAACUUAAUCAAAACACAUGCAAGUUACAUCAUAAACUUACCUUGCUAUUGUUCCCAAUGAGAUGAGACCACUUAAACUUACCAUACUUUAGGCAUUUGUCAUAGGGGUCAUUGAAAGGAGGCCAAGGCACAGCAUGUAUAGUGCUCAUUCUUUGUCUUUAAUGAAUACACUUCAACAACAAAAACGACCAACAACAGUUCCGUCAGGUACACUAGACUAAACGGAAACAACUACCCACAAACCCCAAAGGAAAACAGGCUGCCUAAGUAUGGCUUCCAAUCAGAGACAACGAAAGUCACCUGCCUCUGAUUGGAAACCAUACCCGGCCAAAACAUGGAAAACGAAACAUAGAAAUAGAAUUCCAGCACGAUCCCACCUAGAAACAGAAAACCCCAAAACCACCCAAAACAACCACCUGUCACACCCACUAUGGCAAAUGACCUCUUACAAUGGUCAGGACGUGACAGCAUUGCCCCCAACCACAAGGAUAUUUUACAAACCUUAUUCACCCAGAAAAACAAUAACACUAAAGAAAUACAUGUGAUGCUGACAUGUUAAAAUAAAUUGUAUACCCUACUCACCUGGACUCCAUAAAUCUUCCUUGCCUCACCAACAUGAUUUGAUAGGAUACUUACAGAUUCCCCACAUUAAUACAGCAGUUCUGUUGAUUCACAAAUACAUGUUAACAUAACCAAUAAAUUAUGACAUGGAGUAUGGUUGAGCCGAGCGUUCUGACCUCAUAACGGCAGUCAAGCACCCAAGCUAACUGGCUAAAGUUAGCUCGCUUGAUAGCUACUUCCAGACAUAAAUGAGAGAACAUCUCACUCUGACCAUUUUACUCGCCCUAGCAGAGCUGGUUAGGCUGUUUUCAUGUUAUCCAGAGCGUUGGUGACUAACUGUGCUGCUGGCAAUAAUUUAAUUACGCUUUUUUGCCGACGUUUACUGACACCGGCCAUAUUCAACGGUUGUUGAGCGUUUGUAAAUUCAUCAGUUAUUCUGCGCUCUGGCACACUCAGACCAGAGUGCACUGAAAUCGGAGUAGAUAGCCAGAGUGAAUUUACAAACAUACCCCUACUCCUCGGCCGAGUGUCCAGUGUGCGCUCAGAGAGCAAAACGCUCUGAAUUUACAAACAAUCUGACA
rnacentral:lncRNA from 1 species